GCGGAGACGAAUGUUUCCGUUCACUCCUCACACCACACUCCGCCCGGACUUCGGUUCGGGCGGUU
rnacentral:sRNA from 1 species